AGAGUUUGAUCAUGGCUCAGGAUGAACGCUAGCGGGAGGCCUAACACAUGCAAGCCGAGCGGUAUUGUUUCUUCGGAAAUGAGAGAGCGGCGUACGGGUGCGGAACACGUGUGCAACCUGCCUUUAUCUGGGGGAUAGCCUUUCGAAAGGAAGAUUAAUACUCCAUAAUAUAUUGAACGGCAUCGUUUGAUAUUGAAAGCUCCGGCGGAUAGAGAUGGGCACGCGCAAGAUUAGCUAGUUGGUGAGGUAACGGCUCACCAAGGCGAUGAUCUUAGGGGCCUGAGAGGGUGAUCCCCCACACUGGUACUGAGACGCGGACCAGACUCCUACGGGAGGCAGCAGUGAGGAAUAUUGGUCAAUGGGUGCAAGCCUGAACCAGCCAUCCCGCGUGAAGGACGACUGCCCUAUGGGUUGUAAACUUCUUUUGUAUAGGGAUAAACCUACCCUCGUGAGGGUAGCUGAAGGUACUAUACGAAUAAGCACCGGCUAACUCCGUG
rnacentral:rRNA from 1 species